UGCUGUGUAAUCCACGGGGGGAAAAAAAAUAUCUGUGAUUUGCAAUUCGGAAUAAAGAUCUGAAUAUCAAAAUUUUGGGGUUGUGGCAAGAAAAGUUGAAAGGGGAACCCCAUCCCAGAGCCCACUGUUCUUGUUACUCUGUCUGGGACAGAGUCCGUCUUGCUUAGCGAAGGGUUCAGAGCCUUGACACAACUCAAGUGAUCGGGGGAAAGCGUGCUGCAGGGAAGGCUGAGCUCUUGGGAUCCUCUGCUAAUUGGUUUCAUUAACUUUAGGGCUUUGGAGAAUUACAUCUGAGCUGAUCAAGGAUCAGUGAGCCAGGGGCAGUCAAGAGUCGGUGAGAAAGUGGAGAGGUGCCUGAAGCCUCAGCCCUUGCACACCCUGACACGCGCAGCAGGGAUCGCAGACCAUGAGGGAAGGUCCUAAGAGAAGAGAGCCCUGAAGGAGCAGCCCUGCAGCUCAUCCCCGCAGAGAAAACCGAGGGCAGCCAGCACCAUAAGAAGGAAGUGGUCUCAAGUCUACCGGGUUCCAGUGUGGCUUUAGGUUCUGAAGAUAAAUAAAAGAAAGUCUUUCAAGGUGAAGAUUGGCCCUUUACUGAAACGGCAAGAUUGACAAGACUACAAAUUUAAACCAUUUAGAAAAGUAAUCCUCGAAGCAGAGGAGGAAAUAACUCCCUGGUCGGUGUGUCCUCUGGAGGGAAGCACAGAAGAGACAAAGAUAAGAGUGGCCGUGUCUACAUACCUACAGGCCCUGUGUAACGUGCACGUCCAUCUGGUAAAAGUGAGAUAUCACUAGAUGACGUAGAAGAGUUAGACUCUCUCUCCUCACCUGCUCUUACUGGAGGGGCCCUUCCUCACGCUAUGCUAUUACCCAUUCACUUUUAAUGAAAUCGUCAUCUCCAGCCACGUAAAACGCACGGCCUCAGCUUAGAUUUGUUCAAGUUUAAACCGCAUCGAACUUCCUUUGUAUUGCAACAGAAGAAGAUUUAAGAGGAUGUCACCGAGUAGUUGAGCCUCGUUCCCUUUGGUACUUGCACAACCUUAACAUGAAAUAAAUAAAAUAAAGCAUGCU